GACGAACGCUGGCGGCGUGCUUAACACAUGCCAGUCGAACGCUGAAGCUCAGCUUUUGUUGGGUGGAUGAGUGGCGAACGGGUGAGUAACACGUGAGUAACCUGCCUCCUUCUUUGGGAUAACGCCCGGAAACGGGUGCUAAUACUGGAUAUUCACUGGUCUUCGCAUGGGGGUUGGUGGAGAGGGUUUUUCUGGUGGGGGAUGGGCUCGCGGCCUAUCAGCUUGUUGGUGGGGUGAUGGCCUACCAAGGCUUUGACGGGUAGCCGGCCUGAGAGGGUGACCGGUCACAUUGGGACUGAGAUACGGCCCAGACUCCUACGGGAGGCAGCAGUGGGGAAUAUUGCACAAUGGGCGCAAGCCUGAUGCAGCGACGCCGCGUGAGGGAUGGAGGCCUUCGGGUUGUGAACCUCUUUCGCUCAUGGUCAAGCCGCAACAAUGGUUGUGGUGAGGGUAGUGGGUAAAGAAGCGCCGGCUAACUACGUG
rnacentral:rRNA from 1 species